rnacentral:rRNA from 11 species
UUUGCUGGCUUAAAUAUCCUGAAGACACCAGAUCCCAUUUCAUCAUGGAAGCUCAACAGGGUUAGGUCUAAAUAGCACUUGGAUGAGAGAUGUCUAACAAAUAUCAGGUGCUGAUAGAU